UUGUCUUUGCCCAUGCCACGAUAUUGACACCCUUGCAGCUGGGGUUACAGGUUGGACCCCAAUUAGUUCAGAGAGGGGCAUGUCGGUUAGAUGAUUAACUCCCACAGUCUCAGUUUCAUAUUCAGUAUUAGAAUGGAACUCAAUUCAGUUUUAUAGAUUCAGGACUAUCAGAUAUAGUCACUCAGCUCAGUACGAAACACAGUACAGUUCCAUAG
rnacentral:lncRNA from 1 species